rnacentral:rRNA from 1 species
AACAACUCACCUGCCGAAUGAAUUAGCCCUGAAAAUGGAUGGCGCUUAAGCGGGCGACCGACACCAUGCCGUCUGUAAAAGAAAUCAGAUGAGUAGGAGGACGUGGCGGCCGUGUCGAAGCAUGCGUGCAGACGCGUGUGGAACAGCCGCUAGUGCAGAUCUUGGUGGUAGUAGCAAAUAUUCAAGCGAGAUCCUUGAAGGGCGAAGCGGGGAAGGGUUCCACGCGAACAUUGAUUGGGCGUGGGUGAGUCGUUCCUAAGCCGAGUGGCAAUUGCUAAGUAGCGGCGAAAGGGAAGCAGGUUGACAUUCCUGCACACGGAUGUGGAGGCGGUGACGCUUUAAUGAGGGCGAACACGCCGGCGGUGGCGCUGGGCAGAGUUUUCUUUUCUGUUUGACCGCUGAAGCACGCGGUGUGGAAUCCGCUUGUCGGGAGAAACACGCGUGUACGGGCAGAGCGCCGGGGCUAUUCCGGCGUCCAGCUCGCCACCGACGGCCCUUGAAACUUUGCCUGCUGGAAUUUUUAUUAAGAUCCACGCCGUGGCGUACCGAUCACCGCAUCAGGUCCCCAAGGUGAACAGCCUCUGCUCGAUAUGAAAAAU